CUGUAGUGAAGGUGGCUGGGGAAGGGGCUGUGGGCUCGGCUCGCUCACUGAGAGGGCCUAGGACAGGCAGCUGCUUAUACAACUUCUGCCACCCUAGGCACAGUCCCUGUGAGGCACCGCAGCUGAACCGAAACUAACACACCAAGUUUCCUUCCUUCGCAGAAGUUUGAAGAAGCGCCGGCAAGUUGAGUGGUUGGAGUGAGCCAAGGGAAUAUUAUAUUUGCAAGAGGAGGAAGAAGAUGUGAUUUCAGUGUUCAUUCAGACCAGGCUCUGAAGCAACAUGAUCUAAAACAUUUUCAGAGCAGCUUAGGAACAAUGUUAAUCAAACAACGUUUUUCUCAGUUCUGGAUUCCCCUGAGUAGAGACUUAUCCAAUUUUGUGACAUGCAUUAAUAAAGGAGUAGGAUGACAACAACAAACUCACUUUUACUAGUAAAAUAACUAGUACUUGAACUUGAGCCUCUGGAGAUGGAAUCGGGCUUGUUUAAUGUUUGGAAAGAUGACAACCUUAUUUUAACAAGUAUUCAUUAAUGUAAUGUUGUGAGAUAAUUUUAUUAACAUAUGAUACUGAAUACCACUAUGCACAUCCCUAUGCAUAUUUGUUAGGAGUGCAGCUGAAGGUAAAAGGCCGCAUGAAUAACCUGAAGUAACGAUGCAAGCCAAACAUCCUACCUCCUAUCUGAGAGAGAAAUCGAAGGUGCAAAACUUUCCGAUUUUUAAGACUCUUGUGCUCUUAUACCACUGCGUAUAAGAAGUUGUCAUAGUUACUGCUUUUGUUGGGUAGUUACUAAUAGUUUCAAGGAUGCUGUGAUGUGUAGGCCUUUGUGUAUGCAUACCAGUGCCCUUCAUUUAAACAGGAUAGACCUGAUGAUGAGUAAUGGUCCCAUCCACUAGUGCCAUUAUAUCUCCAACAGCAUAUUAAGCAGAGGCCUGUGAUUGGGAACAACAUUUUUUUUCCCCUUUUAUUUGUACUUGACAAUGAUCUCUUUGUGAAAUCAUGAAUGUAUUUUACCAAAUAAAAUGUAAGUGAAAAAAUGUA